UAACAGAGGGUCGAUCAUGGCUCAGAUUGAACGCUGGCGGAUGCUUUCCAAGCAUAUGCAAAGUCGAACCGUUAGCACGGACUUCGGUCUGGUGGCGAGUGGCGAACGGGUGAGAAGAUCAAACGUGCCUAGAGUAGCGGGGGAUAACUACGCGAAAGGUAUUAAUACCGUACACAACACUUUUCGGGGGAAAGCGGGGACCUUCGGGCCUCAAAAUUAUUAGGAGCGGCCUGAUAUCGUGAUUAGCCAGUUGCGGCGUCUGGCUCACCAAGGCGACGAUCCGUAGCUGGUUUGAGAGGACGACCAGCCACACUGGGACUGGAGACACGGCCCAGACUCUACGGAGAAACAGUGGGAAUUUUGGACAAUGGGGAAACCCCGAUCCAGCCAUCCUGCGUGCGAUGAAGGCCUUCGGGUUGUAAAGCACUUUUGGCAGUGAAAGAAACGGCACGGAUACCCUGCAACCUGACGGUACCUGCAGAAUAAGCACCGGCUAACUACGCGCCAGCAGCCGUGGUAAUACGUAGGCAAGCGUUAAUCGGAAUUACUGGGCGUAAAGCGUGCGCAGGCGGUUCGAAAGAAAGAUGUGAAAUCCCAGAGCUUAACUUCUUUGGAACUGCAUUUUUAACUACCGAGCUGAUGCCAGAGGGAGGGAAUUCUGCGUGUAGCAGUGAAUGAGGAGGAACACCGAUGGCGAAGGCAGCCUCCUGGGAUAACACUGACGCUCAUGCACGAAAGCGUGGGGAGCAAACAGGAUUAGAUACCCUGGUAGUCCACGCUCCUAAACGAUGUCAACUAGCUGUUGGGGCCUUCGGGCCUUGGUAGCGCAGCUAACGCGUGAAGUUGACCGCCUGGGGAGUACGGUCGCAAGAUUAAAACUCAAAGGAAUUGACGGGGGACUCCACAAGCGGUGGAUGAUGUGGAUUAAUUCGAUGCAACGCGAAAAACCUUACUCUACCCUUGACAUGUCUGGAAUCCUGAAGAGAUUUGGGAGUGCUCGCAAGAGAACCGGAACACAGGUGCUGCAUGGCUGUCGUCAGCUCGUGUCGAGAUGCUGGGUUAAGUCCCGCAACGAGCGCAACCCUUGUCAUUAGUUGCUACGAAAGGGCACUCUAAUGAGACUGCCGGUGACAAACCGGAGGAAGGUGGGGAUGACGCUUGGCAGUCCCUCAUGGCCCUUAUGGGUAGGGUGUCACACGUCAUACAAUGGUCGGGACAGGGUCGCCAACCCGCGAGGGGGAGCCAAUCCCAGAAACCCGAUCGUAGUCCGGAUCGCAGUUCGCAACCUGACUGCGUGAAGUCGGAAUCGCCGGCAAUCGCGGAUCAGCAUGUCGCGGUGAAUACGUUCCCGGUCUUGUACACACCGCCCGUCACACCAUGGGAGUGGGUUUUACCAGAAGUAGUUAGCCUAACCGUAAGGAGGGCGAUUACCACGGUAGGAUCCAUGACUGGGUGAAGUCGUAACAAGGUAA
rnacentral:rRNA from 1 species